GCCAGACUCCUACGGGAGGCAGCAGUGGGGGAUAUUGCACAAUGGGGGAAACCCUGAUGCAGCGACGCCGCGUGGGUGAAGAAGCGCCUCGGCGCGUAAAGCCCUGUCAGCAGGGAAGAAAAUGACGGUACCUGAAGAAGAAGCCCCGGCUAACUACGUGCCAGCAGCCGCGGUAAUACGUAGGGGGCAAGCGUUAUCCGGAUUUACUGGGUGUAAAGGGAGCGUAGACGGCAGUGCAAGUCCGGAGUGAAAGCCCGGGGCUCAACCCUGGGACUGCUCUGGAAACUGUAAAGCUGGAGUGCGGGAGGGGCAGGCGGAAUUCCUGGUGUAGCGGUGAAAUGCGUAGAUAUCAGGAGGAACACCGGCGGCGAAGGUGGCCUGCUGGACCGUAACUGACGUUGAGGCUCGAAAGCGUGGGUAGCAAACAGGAUUAGAUACCCUUGUAAU
rnacentral:rRNA from 1 species